UAAGUAAUGUGAAUUGCAGAAUUCAGUGAAUCAUCGAAUCUUUGAACGCACCUUGCGCUCCCUGGUAUUCCGGGGAGCAUGCCUGUUUGAGUGUCGUGAAAUCAUCAUGGUCAUGAUCUUUAAUUAAUCAUGGCUUGGACUUGGAGGCUUUGCUGGUCCUCGCGGAUCGGCUCCUCUCAAAUGCAUUAGCGAGACCCUUGUGGUGCCGCCCCCGGUGUGAUAAUUGUCUACGCCGUGGGUACACCGCGAUUGUGGGGGACCUGCUUCCAACCGUCGAAAGACAACUUCAUCGAAACUUGACCUCAAAUCAGGCGGGACUACCCGCUGAACUUAA
rnacentral:rRNA from 1 species